rnacentral:rRNA from 1 species
UACAGAGGUCCCCGAGCGUUGUUCGGAAUUACUGGGCGUAAAGGGCGCGUAGGCGGUGGUGCAAGUUGCCGGUCAAAGGCCAGGGCUCAACCCUGGACUGCUGGCAAGACUGCAUCACUAGAGGAUUGCAGGGGGAAUCGGAAUUCUCGGUGUAGCAGUGAAAUGCGUAGAUAUCGAGAGGAACAUCAGUGGCGAAGGCGGAUUCCUGGGCAAUUCCAGACGCUGAGGCGCGAAAGCCAAGGUAGCAAACGGGAUUAGAAACCCCGGUAGU